UACGAAGGGGGCGAGCGUUGUCCGGAAUCAUUGGGCGUAAAGAGCGCGUAGGCGGCCAGAUAAGUCCGGUGUGAAAGUCAAAGGCUCAACCUUUGAAUGCCGCUGGAAACUGUCUGGCUAGAGUCCGGGAGGGGCGAGUGGAAUUCCUGGUGUAGCGGUGAAAUGCGCAGAUAUCAGGAGGAACACCAAUGGCGAAGGCAGCUCGCUGGAACGGUACUGACGCUGAGACGACGAAGCGUGGGGAGCAAACAGGAUUAGA
rnacentral:rRNA from 1 species